AGAGAGAGACAUGCGCGCAUAUCAAUAAGCGGAGGAAAAGAAACUAACAAGGAUUCCCCUAGUAACGGCGAGUGAAGCGGGAAGAGCUCAAAUUUGAAAUCUUAAAGGGUUUCCCUUUACGAAUUGUAGUUUAAAGAAGUGUUUUCUGUUGAGGUUUUGGUAAAAGUUCUUUGGAAUAGGACAUCAUAGAGGGUGAGAAUCCCGUAUUUGACCUUUACUUUCAACUUUGUGAUACACUUUCAAAGAGUCGGAUUGUUUGGGAAUGCAGUCCAAAAUGGGUGGUAAAUUUCAUCUAAAGCUAAAUAUUGGCGAGAGACCGAUAGCGAACAAGUACCGUGAGGGAAAGAUGAAAAGAACUUUGAAAAGAGAGUUAAACAGUACGUGAAAUUGUCAAAAGGGAAGCGUUUGACACCAGUGUUGUUUUUCUGAAAAUCAAUUAAAGAACUGUUUAUGCUAAGCUGUUUAGACUUUAUCAGCUAAUCUGUUUAGUUUUGAGCUUUUCUUUAAUGCACUUUUCAGUUAACAAGUCAACAUCAAUUUCUUUUGCUGUAAGAAAGCUUGAGGAAGGUGGCUUGAGAUUCGUCUUAAGUGUUUAUAGCCUCUUGCCUAUGCAGUCGGAGAGAUUGAGGUCUGCAGCGUAGAUCCUUCGGGGCUAAAUGCAUUUGUGCUAAGUUAUAGCAUUUUAUAGACAACUUGUUGACUAUGAUUUGUCUUGUAGCUUACUCGCUUAUGUUAUUUUACCUACGCUUAGGAUGUUGACGCAUGAGAUAUACGC
rnacentral:rRNA from 1 species